UCCGGGGCACGCUCACCCGCGCAGGCCUGAGGCCGCGUCCGCUCCCGCUCGGGGCCAGCUCCCUCUUCCAGGCUCCAGCCCAGGUUUCCGGUAGACAAGCCCCGACCUGCUUGUUCGGACUGCGGCCCUGGACGGCUGGAAACACAAAGUGACGACGUAAGAACACUCUCCGCUUCUCACGCAAAGUCACGACGUAAGAACCCUCUCCGCUUCUCACGCAAAGUCACGACGUAAGAACCCUCUCCGCUUCUCACGCAAAGUCACGACGUAAGAACCCUCUCCGCUUCUCACGCAAAGUCACGACACUCCCAUUGCCCAUGUCAUUGGAUGUAGAAAGAGAUUUUGUUGUCUGAACACUUCAGCACCAUCCUCAAAGCUGUGGACGACAGAGACUCGUCUUGCUUUGUUGCCCAGGCUGGUUUUGAACUCCCAGCAUGAAGUGAUCCUCCCGCCUUGGCCUCCCAAAGGGUUGACCAAGUGGCAUGAGCCACCACACUGGACUCCUGAUCUUUAAUAGUCACUACUAUUACUCAUUUCCAAGUUGCAAGUCAACAGAAGCAGUCCCACCUGGAAAGGAUCCAAAUGAUCUACUUUAGAGAGCAGUGCUAUCUACGGGAGAGGAGACUGGCAUCUCGUUUUUCCAUCUGGAAGCUGGAUAUCUUGCCUCCACAAUGAAAUAUAGGAGCAUUUGGGGAGAAAAUGUCUCCAGGAAAUUGGGUCAUACAAGAUAAAAGUAGAGACUUAACUCUCCCCUCUUAGGGUGGGGAACUUAGCCAGAUUUGCCCAUGGCAUCAGACAAGGUUUUCUAACAAGCCAGCCCAGAUUCUUAAGAAUCACUCUUUCCUCUGAAUUUCAUAUUGCUGAUUGGUGAUGAAAUAAAAUAUUCUGUCCCUGUAAGUACCCUCAGACCACAACGCCUAAUUUUCAGUUGAAAAAUGUGGUCACCCUACACCUAGUCUUUCUACUUUCUGUUACCAUUUAUUUUCAUGUUUAUGCCCUAUAUGUCACUACAAAUUCCUUGAUGGCAGGGUUAUUCUUCUUACUUGUCUCAUUAUAUACCCAGAUUUAACAUGCAGCCGAUUCUAGGUAAAUGUUUGCUGCUGGUGUUCAUGUUGCUGGUAACUCAGUUCUUCCCUCUUCCUUUUCUACUGUCUUUUCCCACCACCUUCCUGGGGACCUCUCCCAAAUACUUGUUGCCCUUAUGUUAACUUCCUAAUGGACUGGGAAUCAAAACUAUAGGCUUACUGUUUUACCAGUGAUCUGUGGGCCAGAUUUCUGAAAAGGCUUUGUUCCACUUCCUCUGUUUUUAAAGCAAGAACAACGAUAUAUUUUCCUCUGUCUAAUCACUAAGCAUAUUAACAGAAUCAAAUGAGAUGAUGUGAAUUGUGUUGCUCUGUAAAUCUGAUUAUGUAUCAUUAGCCCUUUGCAAGAUCAUUUCUGGAGAGAUACAGAAAUAACUCAUCUAAAAGGAUACUAGCUUCUCACAGGGUUUUCUUUUUUAUCCUCUUAUCAAUCUAGAAAUCAAGAUUGACAAGAUUUUAGUCCUUUAGGAAUGGGAUAGCUGGGCCAUGAAUCAAUUAUGACUUAUUUCAAGGAUUUAAACAAUGCAAAGAAAGCUUAGCUCUAAGGCUUCUCAUUCCCUAAAGGUUAAAAUUUGUAUCCUAAUUUCCAUUUCUGGAAUCUCUAUUAGUCACAAGGAGGAGUCUACUGUGCCCUAUUUUAGCAGAAGGCAGAUUAAGUACAAGAUUGAAAUUUGCUCUCAAAGAAAGCAAAUAGCCAUAUUUUUAUCUUGAGAAACUACUCUCUUGAAAACAAAAUGAAAGAUAAUAAGAUUAUCUGGUGGGUUUUAUUUGCCAUGUUAAUGCUCUGGAUGAUUCAGGAAAACAAGCCCAGAAACUGAAUUGUCUAGAUUAUUUGUCAUCAUCUGAAUCUGAAUUUGCUUAUUCCACAGAUAAAUCAGCCAACCCUUCAUUUCCCUGUUGGUUGUUUAAAAGUAGGGCAAUGAGUCUAACAUCUGAUUUUUCUUCUCUGGUAGUGAAGAGUCCAAGGCUCUGACCUCAGCUAGGAUUGUGGGGGUACAAAAUCAGAACUGCCUGGGGUGCAGGUGAAGAGCAAUGGGGGCCUGAGGUGGGGGACUCCAUGAAGGAGUCUCGGGAAGCAAAAAUAGAGAGCAAAGAAGGAUCAAUGGCCCAGACAAAUGGCCACCGAAUUCCAAACACACAUCAGCAACAGUGCACACAGGAUGGAGCGACCGUGAUGACAGAGUGUGUGGGCACCUGAAAGGGCAGCAGGCAGAAGGACAUUGUACACAGUGCUCUUCUCAGCACCAUUAGCUGCAGCAAGUCAGAGCCUGCACCUCAGGCUCCAAGCAGCAGCUGUCACUUCACGUAAUAUGUUCCCAAGCAGAACUGAGAUUAUCGAGUGAUCUCCAAAGUACUACAGAGAAGUCAACUAAUAGAAUCCUUGCUAAUGUGUUCGCUCGUUCAUUCCUUCAUUCAGCCCACAUGAAUCGAGUGCCAUUCUAUGCCCGAUCUGCUCUGAGCUAUUAGGAUAGGGCAGUGAAUGACACAUGUGGAGCUUAGAGGCUAGUGAAGGAAGACUGCAACUUUAGACAGAGUAACUAAGAAAGCCAUGUAGUAUUUGAUACGUAAGAAGAUAUUAAGGGCUAUGGAAAAAAUUACAGCAGGAUAAAAGGUACCGAGAGUGCUAAGAGUUGAAAACAUUUGCCAUUUUAAGCAGAAUACUUGCUGAGAAGGGGACAUUUGAGCAAAGACUUGAGAGAGGUGAAGGAGUUCAGCUUGUGGAUAUCUCGGAACACAAUGGUCCGCAGUGUUCCAGGCAAAGGGGACAGCCAGCUCCUGAGUCAGGGAGGUGCCUGGUGUGUUGGGGGAACAGCAAGGAGACCAGUGUGGCUGGAGGUGGGAGAGUGAAGAGGAGCGAGUGAGGGAUGAAAUCACAGAGGUAAGGAGGGGAGCAGAGUUGCAGGUCACACUGGGCCUUCUAGGUCUUUAGAAAGACUGUGACUUUUGAUCUGCAAGACAUGGGAAAUUGGUGGAGGUUUUCACAGCAGAGGAGUAAUGUGAUUGGAUUUAGCAUUCAAAGGAUUUCGUUGGACGCUGUAUUAAGAAGAGACUGUAGGGAAACAAGGGUGAAAGCAGAGACUGGUUAGGAGGCUUUUGUGUUAUUCCAAGGGAGAGAGAUGUCAGUACAAGCGAUGGGUAAAAUUUAACCUGCUGUUCCUCAGUGAACAGUACAUUUGGAUAUUGUGCCUAUAUUGAUUUUUUUUUGUUGUUAUUUCUUUUUUUUUUCUCCCCUGCUUCUUUUUUUUUUUUUUUUUUAAUUGAGACAGUGUGUUAGGCUGUCACCCAGGCUGGAGUGCAGGGGCACAACCAUGGCUCACUGCAGCCUCCACCUCCCAGUGUUCAGUGGGAGGUUGUGCUCCCACUGUGCUCAGGUGAUCCUCCCAUCUCAGCCUCCCAAGUAUCCGGGAUUACAAUCUCUUUAUGGCUCAGACAGUCAGCAGGGUUCACUGAGGUGGGGCCUGGUGAUGAGUCAAGCUAAAGACCCAAUGGUAAAUUGAUGAGGUCUGUUACAGAAUUUACUAUACGUCUAAACACAAAGCAAAAUAUUCAAAAUAUCUAAAUAUCUCAUCUGUGUUUUCUUAUCUCUAUCUAUCUAUAUUUCACCUAUAUUUGCUUACUCAUCCUUGUUGGCAUUCUUUUUACUGUCCUAUUUGCUGACACUUCAUAUGUAUUUUCUGAGGUAUUAUAUCCACAAGUUAUCUUGAAUCUCAAGAACCCAUAUGAUGAACAGAGUCUGGAGCAGCAUGGGUCUUGCACCUCUUCCUACCUUAAUUCUUCCCUCAGAGCUGCUAGGUUCACCCCAGUUGGCUGAUUUCAGGACCUAUAUUAUGGCAGGUGGAAAAUACAUGGCAGGAAGACUUAAUGCUGGACCCAGAUUUCCUUAUGGAAAAAAGACCACUGCAAGAGCUGUCUAGGGCCUGUGAAUGGGGGGUGAACUAGGCAGGUAUUCCUCUGGUGGGAGAUGCCAGCGCUGGCAGGAACCAGACAUGCAUCACCUAAGACAGGCUGCUGUGGAAUUCACAUUGCCCCAGUCACUGUGCUGAGGAGGAUCCAUUGUUUGAAGGCAGUAAUGACUCAGUUUCUGAUGCAGCCAACGUCAGUGAUAAAGUGAAUCCUCUGGAUUCCAGCAGUGACAAAGGAUUUCAUCUUCUAGAGUAAAUGAUUUUCUUGCUUUUCAUGGCGAAGAUUAAAAUAUUUUAUUAAUUCUUAGAUUUUUGUGACUGAUUUUACUCUACUACAUGGAGUGAAAUAUCAGCUUUUUAAAAAUUUCACUUAAUUUUCUCCUCUUUGCUCACUAGUAUCUACUGUGACAUGUGAAGGAACAUUACAAAAUAGGAAUCUUUUCUUUUCUUUUUUGAGACAGUCACUCUAUUGCCCAGGCUGGAGUGUAGUGGUGCGAUAUUGGCUCACUGCAACUUCCGCCUCCGGGUUGAAGUGAUUCUCGUGCCUCAGCCUUCUGAGUAGCUGACACUACAGGCACAUGCCACCACACCUGGCUAAUUUUUGUAUUUUUUAGUAGAGACAGGGGUUCCCCAUGUUGGCCAGGCUGGUCUCGAACUCCUGGGCUCUAGUGAUCUGCCUACCUCAGCCUCUGAAAGUGCUGGGAUUAUAAUUAUGAGCCCCUGUGCCUGGCAGGGAAUCUUUUCAACAUUUUCUGUUUUUAUAUUUCUUGUGACAAGUUCUUUUUUACUGUGAUAUUGUUAGUCUACAUGUACCGAAGUCUGCCAAGCAAGAAUCUUAGAUUUUAAACAUCAGAAACAGACUUUAGGCCAGGCACAGAGGCUGACCCCUGUAAUCCCAGCACUUUGGGAGGCCAAGGCAGGCGGAUCACCUGAGAUCAGGAGUUCGAGACUAGCCUGGCUAACAUGGUGAAACCCUGUCUCUACUAAAAAUACAAAAAUUAGCCAGGCGUGGUGGCAGGCAGCUGUAGUCCCAGCUACUCCAGGGGCUGAGGCAGGAGAAUCACCUGAACCCGGGUGGCAGAGGUUGCAGUGAGCCGAGAUCACACCACUGUACUCCAGUCUGCAUGGCAGAACAAGA